CCCCCCCCCCCCGAAUACUGAUGGUACGCAUCCUCCUCCCUUUGAACAAGGCCAAGGGAGCUUUACUUCACUUCCAAGCCCAAUACUUCAGAGGAAAAAGACCACCCUUCCCAUUUUCCCUUGCUGCAGGAACAGCAGAGGCCUGGAGAGAUGCAGUCCAAGUACUGUAUAAAUACCAUUUGUACGUGAACACCUUUGCUGAAGUGGCUAAGGACCAGAGCUAGAUUCCCUAUUUGGAGCCUGCAUAGUUUGUGAAGAAAAUGUGGAUUUAAGGCACUUAUGCUUGAUUAAGGUGUCUAAGAGAACAUGGUAAUUUCAAAUGCUCUUUGCAACCCAUUUGUUUUUGCAAAAAUGUUUUUUGGGCGUCUCUGGGAAGCAAAAUGAAUGAAGAAACAGUAAAGUAUCAUGAAGAUAUAAAAGCUGACAGUUUUAUAACAGAGAGUAUUACUAAAUGUAGUUCACAAUUUAUGAAAUCACAAGUCACCUCUUCACAGAUGGUGAGACAAUGGUUUUUUAAUGCUUGAGGGCCUCUUAUUCUAAGAAUGCCAGAUGUACGUAAAAACAGGGUUGGGUUUUUUGUUUGUUUUGUUUUGUUUUAAACAAAACAUUUCAGUGUGUUUGGCAUUCAGUUUUUGGUUGUAAAGGUGACUUCUUAUUAGGACUCUUCAAUAUGAAAUGCCUUGCGGUAAGGAAAACAAAGAAAACACCACAAUUGCAUGAUUAUCCCAAGGCCUAUUAAACAUAAAUUGAAUCACUGCAAAUAACCCUGCGUUUACUUUACUAAUAUAUUGAGCUUGAAUUUGUAGUGCAGAAUCCAGUCAAUGGUGCAUAUAUAUGUUGCAAAUUGUAAAUAUGGUGGGGUUUUUUUAUGCUUUUCUAAAGAAGUCUCAAAAUUCUUAGGUAUAUGGAGGUAUUUCUCACUGCUGGGAAUAUUAUACAAAUACUCACAGACCAGUAUUUCUAUGCAAAUCACUGGAGAACUAAUGGCAAAAUGAGUUCACCAAUAUCAGUGCAAAAGAACUCUGCUGGGGUUACAUUCUGUUUGGAUACUUCUUGUUCUCUGGAAGUGAUUCAAUUGGAGAUGAGUCAGUUAUGGACAGGCUACCAAUGCCAUGUUGUAUACAUGUAUACAACCUCACCUGCUUAUGCCUGAUGUUCUUUCCACUGAAAUAAACACAAGUAUUACUAUUUUAAUACUCAUUAAGUGUAGAGCUCUGCUGUUGUUUUUUGGUUUGUUUGUUUUUAAAGUAGGAUUUUUUUUGUGGGUGCCGCAUGCAGUACGUUAGUGUUUUGCCUGAGGGUCAGUUAAUACACUUCUCGAAAGUGAGGCUAUUUUAAUUGAUGAAGCUUUUGGGAACUAACUUCUCUCUCUUGCAAAUUAAUGAAAUUGUCAAGAUUAAAUCAAUUUAAGUGGAGUGAGACAGCGAGAUAAUGUGCUAGCCUUUCUAUCUGGAAAUCUGUGCUCUUUAGAUUGAUGGCAUCAGGCAGUCUCUAAUGGAUAUAUUUGUCUACAUUACAAAAGUACUUCCUGCAGUCUGGACUUUUGCGUCAGAGAGGUUCAGGAUUUGGAAGGUAAAGUUUUGCAGCCCAGAAUGAAAACAUGAUGGUAGAGCUAUGCAGAAUACGUUUGCAUCCUAUUGUGUUUAUAAUAACCAGAGUGACAUCUAUGUUUUCAGGGACUGCUUGCAUGAAAUAAAGAAUGAAAAGGUAGAGGCUUGAUAUGAUCUCUGCUUCUGGGGAAGGCUAAAGAGAAGUUUGAAUUAUCUCUGUACCCUUCUCAUUUCAGCCUUUAUGGUAGAAAGCAAGCAUUUUUUGUGUU